GGAAGCAAAAGAAACAACUCAAAGUUCUUCAAAUUCCUCCAUCAAAUCUUCACCAAAUCAUCUCCAAAUUCAACCAAACUUGCACCACACUUAGAUUAACACUUGAGGAGUAUUUUGAGCUGCAAAAGGGAGCUGAAAAGCCACGGUUUUCUGGAGCAAAGAGUGACCAAAAAUUUCUGAUCUAGUCAUCCAAGAAGGUAGCAAAUCAUCCAACCCAUAGAUCUUAGUUUUUGUAAGAUAUAUUGCACAUAUAAGGUUAUAUAAUCAUGUGGGUAGUCUUGUUUAUGGUAUAAAAUGUGAAAGUGGGCUCUAUGAACUCCCACUCUUGGGUUGUUGCUGAUUUGAUGAUUGAUGGUGGAUAUAUUGUUGGUUUAGUGGUUAAAAUGAUGGAUUAAUGGUGUGUAAUUAAUAGAAACUUCAUUGGGUGCAAGAAACAAAAGUUUCCGAUUUUACCCCUGCCUUGUCCGAUCACUUAUGUGCAAAAUUUUGAGGUUCUAAUGGCUUGAUUACGUUGUUUACAUGUUAUAUUAGUUGUGUAAAAAGUUUCAUUGAAAAAUAACUUGAUUUGGUUACCCAAAUGUUGGAUUUACAAAAGGUUAGCAAUCUGGAAAAUGAAUCCCGUAUUGCCCAGGCAGUCAUUUUGUAUAGGCCAUAACUCUUCGCUCCGAUGUCGAAAUCAAGUGCCGUUUGUGGCAUUGGAAACUAGACAUUCCCAGAUUUCCAUUGGUACCAAAUUCACAUUCUGGUUCCACUUGAGUGAGCCACACCAUUCGAUUGAAAAUCACUGUCCUGUUUCGUUUCUCUCUAGGAGACAGGACAGGACUUGUAUCAUGAUGCUCAAAAACGAGCUGUUUGUGGAUAGAAUUUGAAAAUGGUUUCUUCUGAUAAAAUUCAGAUUUAUGAAUGUAUUUUCCAACGCCACCAACCAUGCUCAAUUCCAAGUUGAAUUGGGUGAGUUGUGGCCAUAUUUCGAAACUGAUGCAGAGAGUAAAAAAUCCUCUUUUGACUAGUUAAAUGGCCUAGCUUGAUUUGGGACUUGUUGUUUUGGAAACUUUGAUGUCCAACAUCUACCAAACAUUAUAUUAGAUGUUCCUUGGACUUUGUUUCACAAAUAAAUCAGAUUUGGGUUGGUUGCUUUGGGCAAAAUGUUUAAAAAGGAAAGAAGAGCUAGAAGACAGUUUUGCCUUGGAAAUUCUUGAAAAUUUGAUGGUUUUGUUAACCAACUUGCCGUAUGAAUUUUCCUAUGAAAUUUGACAGAGAAAGAGCCCUUAUAUGGUAGUAUAAUCAUACCAAAUUUGUUGCCAUUCCGAGUCUGUUUAGAUGUUCAAACAAAGUCCCAAAGUUCAUGUUUAAAUCUGAAAAUUCUUGAUCGAGGAGGAAUUUUUAGCCAACUUUGAGCUGCUAUAUCUUGGCGCUCAAAACUUCAAUUCUUGUACCGUUUGUUUCAUUUUAAACUUUGAUUGUAGCUCUAAUUGAGUUCUAAAUUUUGGAGGUUAGUUCGUAUUGUGUGAAUUUUGCCGGAUUUUCAAAGAUGGUCAAAAACCAACCCCGAAACUGUCUAAAUGGUCUCAAGCAGCAACUUUGAGUCAAUUUUUGAAUACCUUCUGUUUGGAAUCAUGGAAAAGUAUCUUCUAGGAACUUUUAGCGUUUUUGAAGAAGUUUCCAACGGUAUCAAGCUUUCCAAUUUUGGACCUACAUAGUGCAAGAUACGAUUUUUCUAAAAUUGACACCUAAAGCUGAAAUUUGUCAAUUUCUUAGAAAAUGAGAUUUUGGAAACUUGCCUUCUUUUCUCGAUACCGAUUGAACAUUUUGAACUCGAUUUCAUGGAAAAUAUUAGUCUCUCUCUUUAGACUUUAAAACUUUACUCUUGAGUCUCGAUUAUUAAUAAUUAAGGCCCAAUUAAUGAAUUCCCCUUAGAUUGUAUAACCUUCUUUGAUAAGUAGGGGUUCUAAGUGAUAGUGUAUAAUAGUUAAUGGUUUUUGCUCAGGUGCUCAAGGGGACCUUCAAGAGGAACUCGAAGUGGACGCCUAGACAUUUGUUUGAGUAUUACUCUCUUGUUGCUAUAGGUGAGUGUUCCAUAUAGGAAUACGUAAUUGGAAUAAGUCUAUGACAUGCUUAACCCAUGGUCAUUAAGUGUUAAGUGCUAUAUGAUAAGAAUUUACCACACUCAUGCAUAUUCGAAUGAGGUAUACUUGAAUUGCUCGACAUGAAAUACUUGAAGUAUGUAUACUUGAAUUACUCAACAUGAAAUACCUGAAGUAUGUAUAUUUGAACUAUUAGAUAUGAAAUGCUUGGAGAGCAUAUAUACAUGAUGUGUUUACAUGAUUAAUUAUGCUAUGGCAGCAUAAGUCGGUUGGAGUGAAUCUCCCCGACUCUUACGUGGUAAAAGUGGAAAACGGCCAAUGGCGGCCUAUUAAAAUGACAUAUGUCUACCAAUUAACCGUAAUUACCACCGUUAACCGUUUACCGUUUACUGUUAACCGUGUUUACUUACCGUUUUCUAAUCUAUGUGGUUACUUGCUUACUUGAUUAUCAUGAAUCACAUGUUAUAUGAAGUUGUCCAUCAUUGUUAGGCGAGUGUGUACUUUACCUCACUCGACCUAUUCAAAUGAUGAAUUUUAUUUUUGUCGAAUUACUUGGUUACAUGUGCAUGUUGUAAGCUAUAAGCUGAACUUGGGCCCUGCCUCGGUUACUGACCUACUCGAGCCAGGACUGGGCUCGGUCGGGUAGGUUGGAGCCCUGGACAACCGUUUCGGUAUACUCGAGUAUUACCACUGGAGGGAUAAGGUGAUGGCCAGUCAAACCGAGGGGAUCCGGAAGUCAUAAGGUGCAGAUGACCGACAGAGUUCCACUGGAACACCGUAUCCUACAGUAUAUGUUUACCUGUAUCAUGAUAAUUGUUUCGUGCUAAAAUGCCAACAUGAAAUCCUGAGCUAUGCCUGUAAUAAGCUCCAAUCACUCGUGAACUAUACAUGCCAAUGUCUCAUACCAUGAUAAAUGUCUCAAAUUACCCGUACAAUGAUUAUCACCUCAUGAUAACAUGCCAUUGUGUAACCUUGAACCAUGCAUAUGAUAUGCCCAACUUACUUGAUUUAUUUGAACUGUUAGAGUGUCUUGGAACCUCACUGGGCUGUGUAGCUCAUACCACGUUGUGGUUUUCUUUUACAGGGUUCGAGACCAAGGGUGCUCGUGAGUAGUACUAGAU
rnacentral:lncRNA from 1 species